rnacentral:lncRNA from 1 species
AUUACAUCAGCUCCGCAAAAACUGUUGAGAGUAUUACAAAGCUUCAAAUGUACGUUCAGUCACUUGAUCAGUCUUGAAAGCCCAGAAUUUCUAGUGCAGGGGUAGCUUCCAAGGUGGAAUCUGGAAAAUGAGGCUUCACGGUGCAACGAUAAAACUUGUUGAACCCUGCCAUCCUUACCAGCUUUCAGCAAUGGGUAUUUUUCGCAUUUCCACCUCUUCAUCCAUGUUUUAUGUGAACGGUGGAUGUCUUGAUUGGACUGUUAGUUUUUCUCUACCAUAAAUGCAGAAUUUUAAUUUAUUUAUUAAUUUUAUUUCAAUAACAAUAAUUAUUAUUUAAUAUAAAAAUCAAGAAUCUACUCCAACAAAAUUAUAUAUCAAAAUACACAUACCUCAAAGCGAUUCAACUACCUCACCUCUAAAAGGAUUUAAAUUAUCGAUCAAGAUAUAGGAAUCAAAAUCUCCUACCUUGAAUGAAUGACCUUUUCACUACCCCUUCUAUAAAUUUAUGCCAUGUGUACUCUCAUUAUUAAUGAUAUUAAGACUUGUUUGGUUUCAAAACUCAUUCUUUCUCAUUUAUUAAUUUUCUUCCUGACUUUCUCAAAAAAUGAUUUUCUCCCCCAAAACAUUACUGUUGAUACAUGAUGUUAUUGAAGUAUUUGGGCUUUGUCUUUUCUUUGUUUUCUUCUCUCUUUUAGUGAACUCAUAGCAAAGAAAAGAAUUAUCAACGAGGUCUAUUUCAUUACAAUAUUUACUAAUCAGUCCUUUCAUCAUACCAUAUUUCUUUUAGGCUUUAUGGAUAACUAAUUUAUACUGUCAUAUCCAACCCAUGUAAUAUCAAUUCAUGAUUUUCAUUUUUGUUGGACUUUAUAAAAUAUUUUUCUUCAAAAUAGCAAUAUAUAAUAUUAAUAUAAAUAAUAUAAUUCUAAAACACUUUUUAGAAAACACAUCGAUCGAAUUUCCUAAGUCUAACAAUCUUAUGGAAAUUGCUUGAAUGUCUUUCUCAAUAGAGAAUGACGAAUCCUUUGUAUAGUAUCCAAUAUAAUUUAUUUAGCAUAUACAUAACCCAACGUAUCAGGGUAUAAUCUUUAAAUUCAACAUCAUCAAUCAGUAAAAUUAAAGUCAUAUUGAUUUAAAAUAAAUUAUAUUGACCUCUCAAGUUUAAAGACAAUUAAUAAAUUGUAAUGGAGUUUCUUUUAAUUAUUGACAGUGACAAGCUUAUAUGGUGCUCUUUAAUUAGAUCUUAUUCAAUGUUUGUACCUUACAUAGUACACCCACUUAUUUGCUUUAAGGUCACUAUCCCAGUGAUAGAGUUGAAACAUUUUAUCUUUUUGAUAGAGACAUAACAAGCGUAGGCUUUGAAUAGUUUAUCACAUUUAGCAAAGAACAACUUUGAUAAACAAGGAAUUGAAGAACUAUGAUUCCCCACUUAAUAUUUCAUUAACUAUUAGCAUAGUUUUUCUACAAUGUUACCAAAUAAUUUAUGAUCAUAUCAUAUAUGUCAUAAAUAAAUAAAAUGUUACUUAUAAUAUAUAUGAAAUCAAUAAUUGAUAUUGCAAUUUAUUUAUCUAAUAAAUAAAUAAUAAAAAUUGAUUUUUAAAGGUAUCUCUAACACAAGUCUAAAGGUUGAACAAUGUUAAUGUGUAUCAAAGCACUUGCAACUUGAAACAAGAUCCACAUCACAACUAGAGAACCAUCUUUAGUCUAGCGAAAAAUUAUGAAAUAGAGUAAGUCUUACUUUACACAAACCUAUGCCGGGUGUUUACCUUUUGAGGUUGAUACAAAGUAAUUUCAUAAUUUUUUUUCUAGACAUUUCAUGAACUAAUCACUAAUAUUUACGAUCGAAAGAUAUUACAGAAUCGAGUAAUAACAACUCUUCACGGCACAAAAACCUUUGACUUGGCAAUACAUGGAGAUAUUUUUUCUGGGAAGGGAGAGAGUUUCUUGCUCAAGUAAUUUUUAGAUCACUAUGGUGAAUUGUUGUUGUGUUAUUUUGGUGGAACACCCAAGCAUAUUUACAAUGUUUUAAAGAUAACUUUAUAACUUUUAUCAAGAUAAUAUCAAGAUAACCACUUGUUAAAUACUUCUCAUAUUAAAUAAUCUUGAUCACUUGAAUUUAUUACCAAGAUAAUAGUUUUAUCCAAAUAGGAUAUUCAUCAUGGGUGUUAUCCCAAAAGCCCAACAUCUCCAACUCAUAAAUGAUGGGAAGCCAUCUACCACUCUUUUAAACCAUCCCAAUGCCAAGUUCAUAUUGGUUAAUGAACUAUGUGACCAUUAAGUGCACUAGAAUUUCGAAGUUCUAUAAUAGAUACUCGUUAGAGCUAGCAUAGAGACAUCGACCCUUAGGAACUUAAAACCUUAAGGAAUAAAGGAACAUAAUAAAUGGAAGAAAAUAUGUAAGGAAAUAUAUCACCUAACAAGGAAGGGUUAAAGGAAAAAAAUACACAUCCAUUUAUAGUGGUUGGGUUAGCCUAAACCUACAUCCAUAACCUUUAUCAAGGAUUUGUAUCUCAAUUCUUCACUAAACGAGUGCAAUUAACAAUUUCCACCAAAUACUAACAAGGCACGCUAUCCCAAGCUCAAAAUUAAAGUUUACAAACCCAAUGAAUGGUUCCAACACCAAGAUUUGACACCAACAAGUGAUCACAAUAAUUAAAGCUAUCAGUUAUAAAUGUGUCAGUAGAUCACAAUUAUAAAUGUGUCACUUGAUCACAAACUAAUCAAAAUUCAUCCUUUAGAACACACAAAUUCUCACUCUUAAAUAUAAUAGUUAAGCACAAAUAGAAAAAAUGAACUAGAGAUAGGUUCUUCAGUCUUUCAACCUAAUUCUUUCUAAAUUGGUCUCUUUAGAUUGUUAAAAGUCCUUUUUUUCAACUCUUUACUGGAUAUAUUAGAUUUAAAAAAUCAAUCAUUUAAGCCAAAAUUUUCAUUCGAGGUGUCAAAAUUUGCAACAAAUUACAAAUUCACAUGAGCUAUGAACCUAUUUGACAUCCUAGGUUAAUAGCUUCAAAUUCUUCAUUAGUUCAGCUAAUUGGUUAAAACCUUGAACUUCAUUCUCAAUGUUGAUCACAUCACAAAGAUUCUUUGAUCUGUUGAAGUUGUCCUUUAGAAGCUUCCAUAAACCUUUAUAUGACUUUAAAAACAUUCAAUCACUUAAUCUUGUUUCCUUAAUCGGCUAAGUCAAUUCUUCAAAUUUCAUGAUCCUCUCUAAAGCGAUUUAAUCGCUUAGACAUGAGCUCUUAGUCGAUUGACCUUUUUAUAUGCUAACUUCCAUUUAAUAGCUUUAAGGCAUUAACUGAUUAACUCUCCGCUGUGAAACACACUAUUACAAUUUAAGGAUAGCUAUGUAAUUUAACUUGUUAAGAUCUAGUUUAAAAUGUUUUUGUGAGACCUCAACCCCUAUAAGCUCAUAACGAGGCAUAGGCGUAACAACUUGGGCUAAGGGUAGUUUCAUCAUUUCCUCUAAAUAAGUUCCUAAAAGGAAGUUUUCUGAUAUUUAAGAUCUAAAUAAGCAUAAAGACCAAAUAAAUGAUGUAUAAUGAUGAAAACAUGUAGAAAACUAGAUAUGGCAAUAAUUUUCACAAUAGGGGUAAAAUGGUCAUUUUGCAUCCUGAGUCAAAAUUUUUAAGUUUUCGUAAACCCGAGUAUAUUUAGACCAUUGUGGACUUGGCCUCAGUGUCAAAAGAGUAAAAAAAUUUCAUAGAGGAUUGGAGAAGAACAAGCUAACUUGCUAAGGGCAUUUUCGUAAUUUAAAAGGGAAUUGGAUAAGUUUGAGCUAUAAAUAUCUUCUCCUUCCAGUAGCUUCUUUAAUUUCCAGUAGCUUCUUCUUCUUCCUCCUUCUAUCUCACGUUUGUUUCCCCCUCCAUUGAAAGCAUGGUAUGAAAACUUCAUAACUUUCUCUCUCUAGCUCCAAAUUUCAUGCUUUCGCCCACCCUUUCAUACGAUUUUUCAUGCUCUUCCACUUUUACACCUUAAAACCCUCAAAAAGUCUUUGUUCAGCACUUUCUCUCACUAGUUGAAAGUUUUAGAGAGAGAAAGAGAGACUUGUCAUAGUAGCUUGGAAGCUAUUGGAAGAGAAUUCAACUACAAAGAAACCCUAAGGUGAGUGAUGAACUAGGCUUGGUUUUAAGUUGUUGAUAAUGGCUAGUAAUUGAGAUUAUGAGUUGUUUUAUUGUUGAGUUGUUUGCUCAUUUUUAGUGCGAUUAGAGUAGUGCAAACAAUAGCCAUUUAAUGGUGGUUGGAAACUAGUUAGGAAUGACUAGUAGAACCUAAUUUAGAAAAUAGUUUUGGAAUGGUAUUAAUGCCAAUUUGGGUUUGUUGUGAUGUUGUGUGUGUAUAGGUUCCAACAAGGCCUCACAUGUCCAUUUGGAGCAUUAGUUGAGGUUAGAGUCAAGCAAAA